GACGAACGCUGGCGGCGUGCCUAAUACAUGCAAGUCGAACGAGAGCGACCGGUGCUUGCACUGGUCAAUCUAGUGGCGAACGGGUGAGUAACACGUGGGUAACCUGCCCAUCAGAGGGGGAUAACAUUCGGAAACGGAUGCUAAAACCGCAUAGGUCUUCGAACCGCAUGGUUUGAAGAGGAAAAGAGGCGCAAGCUUCUGCUGAUGGAUGGACCCGCGGUGCAUUAGCUAGUUGGUGAGGUAACGGCUCACCAAGGCCGUGAUGCAUAGCCGACCUGAGAGGGUGAUCGGCCACAUUGGGACUGAGACACGGCCCAAACUCCUACGGGAGGCAGCAGUAGGGAAUCUUCCGCAAUGGACGCAAGUCUGACGGAGCAACGCCGCGUGAGUGAAGAAGGUUUUCGGAUCGUAAAACUCUGUUGUUAGAGAAGAACAAGUGCUAGAGUAACUGUUAGCGCCUUGACGGUAUCUAACCAGAAAGCCACGGCUAACUACGUGCCAGCAGCCGCGGUAAA
rnacentral:rRNA from 1 species